AAAUCCCAGUACUCCUUGCAGCCCCUCCUAGUCUCCCAUCCCAUCAUCUCACAUCCAAUAGAGGACUGUGAGGGGGCGAAAUGGUUUUUUAAGUAGGAGAACAGUAUGAAAAGCAGCUGUGUCUCACCUUGCUCUCCUUAUGGGGAUGGAGAGUAACUCCAAGACAAGUGGAAGGAGCUGGGCCUGGAGAGAAUCAUCUGUACAACAUGGGAAUGUCUUCGAGAGGGCAAGAAGUCGCUUGCUGGAUGCCAGCACCUUGAUAUUGGACUUCUCAUCCUCCAGAACUAUAAUUGACAAUAGGCUCCCAUGGAAGUCUUCUGUGCAUUUCUGCAAAAAUUUAGGAAACAUUAGGUUUGACACCAUCAUCAUGUUUGCCAAGGCAGCAAAAAUCCCAGCCGGCAAAGCUUCAAGUGUGAUGAAGCGGAACAGCAAGGACAGCACGGAAUGACUGAUCAUUUCAGAAUGCCGUCUAGCGAGAGUUUCCAAUGUGGGAGUUUUCCAUUGUUUUGAAGCAGGAGAAAUAGGGACCGGCUGCUUUGGAAGAAACAUGCUGUAGGGGUCUGCCCCUACUACGAACUUAUGAGGGUUGAGGAGAAAUUACGUUUUUCCCCCAGCAAGUGUUCAAAUGAGAAAUGGUGAGGACAGCAGCAUUGGGUAAAGAGAGAGGGGCAGAUUUGAGAGGUAUCAAGAAGGAGGUGACUUCGUGGGUGGUGAGGAAUGAGAGAGUGUGGGAUGUUUAGGAAGAUGCCCAAAUUUCCAGCUUGGGUGAUGGGGUAAUGGUGCUAUUCUCAGAGUGGAAACUCAAGAGGAAGGA
rnacentral:lncRNA from 1 species